CUUAAAGCCGGGUAUUUGAACCGUAUUGUGCGCCCGACAUAAGUCAAAGCACUAAAAAGGAGAUG
rnacentral:ncRNA from 2 species